rnacentral:rRNA from 1 species
AAGAGUUAUGCCCUAACGGGUAGACCUCCCACCCUUGUGUAUUUAUACUUUGUUGCUUUGGCGAAUAGUGCGUCUGACGCACCUCAGCCCUCGGGCUGUGAGAUUCUCUUGUUCGCCAGAGGAUACCAAACUCAUAUUUAUUAGUGUCGUCUGAGUACUAUAUUAAUAGUUAAAACUUUCAACAACGGAUCUCUUGGUUCUGGCAUCGAUGAAGAACGCAGCGAAAUGCGAUAAGUAAUGUGAAUUGCAGAAUUCAGUGAAUCAUCGAAUCUUUGAACGCACAUUGCGCCCCUUGGUAUUCCAGGGGGCAUGCCUGUUCGAGCGUCAUUUCAACCCUCAAGCUCUGCUUGGUAUUGGGCUUCUGUCAGUAAAAUGACAGGCCUCAAAAUCAGUGGCGGCGCCGUUGGGUCCUGAACGUAGUAAUAUAUUUCGUUACAGGUUCUCAAUGUGCUUCUGCCAUUAAACCCCAAAUUUUCUAUGGUUGACCUCGGAUCAGGUAGGGAUACCCGCUGAACUUAAGCAUAUCAAAGCCCGGAAGGAAG